rnacentral:misc_RNA from 1 species
UGUGGGAGCGAGCCUGCUCGCGAAGGCGUCGUGUCAGUUGACAUCAAUGUUGAAUGUCAGUCUGCAUUCGCGAGCAGGCUCGCUCCCACA